GAUGAACGCUGGCGGCGUGCCUAAUACAUGCAAGUCGAGCGAAUGGAUUAAGAGCUUGCUCUUAUGAAGUUAGCGGCGGACGGGUGAGUAACACGUGGGCAACCUGCCCAUAAGACUGGGAUAACUCCGGGAAACCGGGGCUAAUACCGGAUAACAUUUUGAACCGCAUGGUUCGGAAUUGAAAGGCGGCUUCGGCUGUCACUUAUGGAUGGACCCGCGUCGCAUUAGCUAGUUGGUGAGGUAACGGCUCACCAAGGCAACGCUGCGUAGCCGACCUGAGAGGGUGAUCGGCCACACUGGGACUGAGACACGGCCCAGACUCCUACGGGAGGCAGCAGUAGGGGAUCUUCCGCAAUGGACGAAAGUCUGACGGAGCAACGCCGCGUGAGUGAUGGAGGCUUUCGGGUCGUAAAACUCUGUUGUUAGGGAAGAACAAGUGCUAGUUGAAUAAGCUGGCACCUUGACGGUACCUAACCAGAAAGCCACGGCUAACUACGUGCCAGCCGCCGCAGUAA
rnacentral:rRNA from 1 species